rnacentral:tRNA from 1 species
UGGGGUAUCGCCAAGCGGUAAGGCAUGGGAUUUUGAUUCCCAGACGCGUCGGUUCGAAUCCGGCUAUCCCAA